CAUGAAGUCGGAAUUGCUAGUAAUCGCGGAUCAGCAUGCCGCGGUGAAUACGUUCCCGGGCCUUGUACACACCGCCCGUCACACCAUGGGAGUUUGUAACGCCCAAAGUCGGUGGCCUAGCCUUUAUGGAGGGAGCCGCCUAAGGCGGGACAGAUGACUGGGGUGAAGUCGUAACAAGGUACC
rnacentral:rRNA from 1 species